rnacentral:rRNA from 1 species
UACGUAGGGUGCAAGCGUUGUCCGGAAUUAUUGGGCGUAAAGAGCUCGUAGGCGGUUUGUCGCGUCGACUGUGAAAGCCCGGGGCUCAACUCCGGGUCUGCAGUCGAUACGGGCAGACUAGAGUUCGGUAGGGGAGACUGGAAUUCCUGGUGUAGCGGUGAAAUGCGCAGAUAUCAGGAGGAACACCGAUGGCGAAGGCAGGUCUCUGGGCCAUUACUGACACUGAGAAGCGAAAGCAUGGGGAGCGAACAGG